AGAGUUUGAUCCUGGCUCAGGACGAACGCUGGCGGCGUGCCUAACACAUGCAAGUCGAACGAGAAUCUUUGAACAGAUCUUUUCGGAGUGACGUUCAAAGAGGAAAGUGGCGGACGGGCGAGUAACGCGUGAGUAACCUGCCCAUAAGAGGGGGAUAAUCCAUGGAAACGUGGACUAAUACCGCAUAUUGUAGUUAAGUUGCAUGACUUGAUUAUGAAAGAUUUAUCGCUUAUGGAUGGACUCGCGUCAGAUUAGAUAGUUGGUGAGGUAACGGCUCACCAAGUCAACGAUCUGUAGCCGAACUGAGAGGUUGAUCGGCCGCAUUGGGACUGAGACACGGCCCAGACUCCUACGGGAGGCAGCAGUGGGGAAUAUUGCGCAAUGGGGGCAACCCUGACGCAGCAACGCCGCGUGCAGGAAGAAGGUCUUCGGAUUGUAAACUGUUGUCGCAAGGGAAGAAGACAGUGACGGUACCUUGUGAGAAAGUCACGGCUAACUACGUGCCAGCAGCCGCGGUAAUACGUAGGUGACAAGCGUUGUCCGGAUUUACUGGGUGUAAAGGGCGCGUAGGCGGACUGUCAAGUCAGUCGUGAAAUACCGGGGCUUAACCCCGGGGCUGCGAUUGAAACUGACAGCCUUGAGUAUCGGAGAGGAAAGCGGAAUUCCUAGUGUAGCGGUGAAAUGCGUAGAUAUUAGGAGGAACACCAGUGGCGAAGGCGGCUUUCUGGACGACAACUGACGCUGAGGCGCGAAAGUGUGGGGAGCAAACAGGAUUAGAUACCCUGGUAGUCCACACCGUAAACGAUGGAUACUAGGUGUAGGAGGUAUCGACCCCUUCUGUGCCGCAGUUAACACAAUAAGUAUCCCACCUGGGGAGUACGACCGCAAGGUUGAAACUCAAAGGAAUUGACGGGGGCCCGCACAAGCAGUGGAGUAUGUGGUUUAAUUCGAAGCAACGCGAAGA
rnacentral:rRNA from 1 species